rnacentral:lncRNA from 1 species
AGUUUGAGUCAGAGUAGGGACCAUGCUGUCCCAGGUUCAAGGAUAAAAACCAUCAGGCCCAAGUGCCAUCCAUAGUCCAUCUCCAGAGUCUUCCUCCACAAACUGGGAUUCAUCCCCGCUGAAAAAGCACAAUCUAACAGCAAGGGAACAAAAAAACCAUGCUAUCACAUAAUACUAUGAUGAAGCAGAGAAAACAGCAAGCAACAGCCAUCAUGAAGGAAGUCCAUGGAAAUGUAUCUCAUGUGAAACUUGAAGACUGAAUGAAGAGAGAGAG